UACGUAGGGUGCGAGCGUUAAUCGGAAUUACUGGGCGUAAAGGGUGCGCAGGCGGUUUUGUAAGCCAGAUGUGAAAUCCCCGGGCUUAACCUGGGAAUGGCAUUUGGGACUGCAAGGCUAGAGUGUGGCAGAGGAGACUGGAAUUCCUGGUGUAGCAGUGAAAUGCGUAGAUAUCAGGAGGAAUACCGAUGGCGAAGGCAGGUCUCUGGGCUGACACUGACGCUCAUGCACGAAAGCGUGGGGAGCAAACAGG
rnacentral:rRNA from 1 species